CACCUUGUCUUCUUCCUUCUUGAGAAAGUCUUAGAGAUUGAACGAGAUCCUUUUCAACCAUUAAGAAAGUAUUCUUUGUAAGAAAGCUAGCACCUUGGAGAGAACAUAGAGCCUCUGAUCAGUUCAUGCCUCAUGUGGAUACCCAUAGAGGUUGGACACGUGCACGGCUAUAUCAGAACCUGAAGGCAUCUACAAAUCCAGAUUUAAGAAGAAGUUCUGUGAUUUAGAUAU
rnacentral:lncRNA from 1 species